rnacentral:rRNA from 1 species
AGUGAACGCUGGCGGUAGGCCUAACACAUGCAAGUCGAACGGCAGCACAGUAAGAGCUUGCUCUUACGGGUGGCGAGUGGCGGACGGGUGAGGAAUACAUCGGAAUCUACUUUUUCGUGGGGGAUAACGUAGGGAAACUUACGCUAAUACCGCAUACGACCUACGGGUGAAAGCAGGGGAUCUUCGGACCUUGCGCGAUUGAAUGAGCCGAUGUCGGAUUAGCUAGUUGGCGGGGUAAAGGCCCACCAAGGCGACGAUCCGUAGCUGGUCUGAGAGGAUGGUCCGCCACACUGGAGCUGAGACGCGAUCCAGACUCCUACGGGAGGCAGCAGUGGGGAAUAUUGGACACUGGGCGCAAGCCUGCUCCAGCCAUACCGCGUGGGUGAAGAAGGCCUUCGGGUUGUAAAGCCCUUUUGUUGGGAAAGAAAAGCAGCAGGUUAAUACCCCGCUGUUCUGACGGUACCCAAAGAAUAAGCACCGGCUAACUUCGU